rnacentral:rRNA from 1 species
AGCGGCGGACGGGUGAGUAACGCGUGGGUAACCUGCCCUAUACACAUGGAUAACAUACUGAAAAGUUUACUAAUACAUGAUAAUAUAUAUUUGCGGCAUCGCAGAUAUAUCAAAGUGUUAGCGGUAUAGGAUGGACCCGCGUCUGAUUAGCUAGUUGGUGAGAUAACUGCCCACCAAGGCGACGAUCAGUAGCCGACCUGAGAGGGUGAUCGGCCACAUUGGAACUGAGACACGGUCCAAACUCCUACGGGAGGCAGCAGUGGGGAAUAUUGCACAAUGGGCGAAAGCCUGAUGCAGCAACGCCGCGUGAACGAUGAAGGUCUUCGGAUCGUAAAGUUCUGUUGCAGGGGAAGAUAAUGACGGUACCCUGUGAGGAAGCCCCGGCUAACUACGUGCCAGCAGCCGCGGUAAUACGUAGGGGGCUAGCGUUAUCCGGAUUUACUGGGCGUAAAGGGUGCGUAGGUGGUCCUUCAAGUCGGUGGUUAAAGGCUACGGCUCAACCGUAGUAAGCCGCCGAAACUGGAGGACUUGAGUGCAGGAGAGGAAAGUGGAAUUCCC